rnacentral:rRNA from 1 species
AGUGAACGCUGGCGGCGUGCUUAACACAUGCAAGUCGAACGGUAACAGGAAGAGCUUGCUCUUUGCUGACGAGUGGCGCACGGGUGAGUAAUGUAUAGGUAACGUGCCCUAGAGUCUGGGAUAGCCACUGGAAACGGUGAUUAAUACCGGAUACUCCUCCUCGGAGGGAAAGGUUUUUCGCUCUAGGAUCGGCUUAUAUUGUAUCAGCUAGUUGGUGAGGUAAGGGCUCACCAAGGCGAUGACACAUAGCGGGUUUGAGAGGAUGAUCCGCCACACUGGUACUGAGACACGGACCAGACUCCUACGGGAGGCAGCAGUGAGGAAUAUUGCACAAUGGGGGAAACCCUGAUGCAGCAACGCCGCGUGGAGGAUGACGCAUUUCGGUGUGUAAACUCCUUUUAUCAGGGAAGAAGAUGACGGUACCUGAUGAAUAAGCGCCGGCUAACUCCGUGCCAGCAGCCGCGGUAAUACGGAGGGCGCAAGCGUUACUCGGAAUCACUGGGCGUAAAGGACGCGUAGGCGGCCCACUAAGUCAGGUGUGAAAUCCUACAGCUUAACUGUAGAACUGCACUUGAAACUGGUGGGCUAGAGUAUGGAAGGGGCAGGUGGAAUUAGUGGUGUAGGGGUAAAAUCCGUAGAUAUCACUAGGAAUACCGAAAGCGAAGGCGAUCUGCUGGGACAUAACUGACGCUGAGGCGUGAAAGCGUGGGGAGCAAACAGGAUUAGAUACCCUGGUAGUCCACGCCCUAAACGAUGAAUGCUAGUCGUCGGGGCUCUUGUAGUUCCGGUGAUGCACCUAACGGAUUAAGCAUUCCGCCUGAGGAGUACGGUCGCAAGAUUAAAACUCAAAGGAAUAGACGG